ACUCAAAUGAAUUGACGGGGGCCCGCACAAGCGGCGGAGCAUGUGGAUUAAUUCGAUGCAACGCGAAGAACCUUACCUGGGUUUGACAUGCACUAGACAGCCUCAGAGAUGGGGUUUCCCUUGUGGUUGGUGUACAGGUGGUGCAUGGCUGUCGUCAGCUCGUGUCGUGAGAUGUUGGGUUAAGUCCCGCAACGAGCGCAACCCUUGCCCCAUGUUGCCAGCGGGUUAUGCCGGGGACUCGUGGGGGACUGCCGGGGUCAACUCGGAGGAAGGUGGGGAUGACGUCAAGUCAUCAUGCCCCUUAUGCCCAGGGCUUCACACAUGCUACAAUGGCUGGUACAGAGGGCUGCGAGAUCGUGAGGUUGAGCGAAUCCCUUAAAGCCGGUCUCAGUUCGGAUCGGGGUCUGCAACUCGACCCCGUGAAGUCGGAGUCGCUAGUAAUCGCAGAUCAGCAUUGCUGCGGUGAAUACGUUCCCGGGCCUUGCACACACCGCCCGU
rnacentral:rRNA from 1 species